AACCAGAUUGGGCCAAGGUCGCUCUCAAGAGGCAUGAGGAGCAGAAUAAUGUCUGACCAGCAACUCCAAAGCACACAUACUUUAAAAAGAAAUGAAGCCACUCUUGACCCCCACGGUCAAUCCUUUCGCAGCCACACAUACUUUACAAAAUAAAUAUGGAUGCGGUUGAGGAAAAAGAAAACAAAUUGCUGUGCUCAACACAAAUCUUUGACCAGUUUAUAUAUCUUGAACUCGAGCCAGGCCGGUGCUAAUCAAGCCCAUGAAAAAUAUUUCGUCCCAAAUGAAAAUGCCGGAAUUUCGCGCCAGCAUUUCCCCACUGUUCCAAGCAGAAAUCCAUCCAUGCGUUCAAAUCAGGGAGAUCCAGACGAUUGAUCCAGCAGGCAAAGUGAGCAGUGAAGGUGAAGCAUUGCCUCGGUCGCAGGUAAACUAAGCUCCACUGAAGCUGACGUCGUCCCUCGGCUUUGAAACGGUAAAAGGUUAAGUGAUGUGGAUCGUCACAGGCUCAACAAAAUUCACCAAGAUUUUCCAAGGAAGUCGCUCUGCGUGCGUGUCCACUAGCGGCGAGCGGCCGUGACUUUCCACAGCAAAUUCCAAAAGGGGGUGACACACCGCACCACAUAUCUCCAAAUAUCCUUUUCCGUCCGUCCCUCCGGCCGUCGGUGUCGCUGAAUGCAGAAAACCGUGUUGAAUUGUUCCAAAGCCUUGAACUUCCUUCCUCCUUUUCUUUUUUUCCCUGUGUUGACGAGAGGGAAUUCAAGGUGGAAAAUCAUUACACAAAGACUAAUACUAAAACAAAAUAAAAUAACAUAAAAUAUACUGUAAUAAUAAUGGUUUUGAUGAAAGUGGUUCCACCUUUUUAGGCGCGUUGCAUUUGCAUUUGGGCCACUAUCUCUGGCCAAAUCUAGUGCUCCAUGUUGGUUGACACCAUAGAGGAAAAAAGGGUAAAGGAAGUUGCCUUCGGCUUCAACGUCUUCGUGUGCCUCUUCGCCGGGAAGCACCCUCGGAACCCUCCCAGAAAACAGCUCGAACAGAAUUAAUUCUCUCCUGCAAAAGGUGAAGCGAUUAGGCUGCUGAAAUGCACAUUAUUUUCUGUGCUGCAGAAUAAAACAUGUAGGGACUAGUGUGUGUGUGUGUCACUGUCACAACAAGCCACAGCCAUAGACUGGAGACUGGACCGUCCGCUGCUGAAAAUCAAGAGAGGGACGCCCUGCAGCAGCUUGAACACCAGCAAGCACCCAUCCGUCCAUCCAAUCCACAUCACGUAGAAUCUAGACCGUUUCCCCUUCCAUCCGGCCCAGGCCGCUGUCGACCUCAUCUCGGCCGGUCAAGUCCAUGCCCCUGCGUCGCCUCUGUUCAUGCCAAAGGUGCAGUGCAGCCUUUGGCAGAAGAUGGCCAUGGCAGCUUGUGAUACUUUGAAACGGUCCAAGUCUUGGGCGAUGCGCACUUCUCAUGCCCACCGUGGCUUCGAUGGUCAGUGCUGUGAGCGAUGAUGAC
rnacentral:lncRNA from 1 species